GCUUCAACGUUGAGGUCAAAAGGUCAAAGGUCAAGGUAAUUUUAGGACCUGAAAUAUGAAAAUUCUCUCCUUUAUGCUCAUAUUUCAAAAGUAUAUAAUAAAAAGAAGAUGUGGUAUGAUUGCCAAUGAGACAACUCUCUACAAGAGACCAAAAUGACACAGAAAUUAACAGUUAUAGGUAACUGUACGGCCUUCAACAAUGAGCAAAG
rnacentral:lncRNA from 1 species